GAUGAACGCUGACAGAAUGCUUAACACAUGCAAGUCUACUUGAAUUUGGGUUUUUUAACUUAGAUUUGGGUGGCGGACGGGUGAGUAACGCGUAAAGAACUUGCCUCACAGCUAGGGACAACAUUUGGAAACGAAUGCUAAUACCUGAUAUUACGAUUAUAAGGCAUCUUAGAAUUAUGAAAGCUAUAUGCGCUGUGAGAGAGCUUUGCGUCCCAUUAGCUAGUUGGAGAGGUAACGGCUCACCAAGGCGAUGAUGGGUAGCCGGCCUGAGAGGGUGAACGGCCACAAGGGGACUGAGACACGGCCCUUACUCCUACGGGAGGCAGCAGUGGGGAAUAUUGGACAAUGGACCAAGAGUCUGAUCCAGCAAUUCUGUGUGCACGAUGACGUUUUUCGGAAUGUAAAGUGCUUUCAGUUGGGAAGAAAAAAAUGACGGCACCAACAGAAGAAGUGACGGCUAAAUACGUG
rnacentral:rRNA from 1 species